GACUAUACCAACCUGGACGAACUACAUUUACAAACAUGGGAUUGUUUGUAUAUAAUUCUGUUUCUGCCGCUACAGAAGAGCAUUUUAGGCAGCUGGCAAGUAAGCCUGAUGUCUUAGACCUUGUCUUUAACCAACUUAAUCUUUUGUGUUAUAUUUAAUGACAAUAUAUUAAUAUUAUUCAAUUUGUAUAAUUAGCAAAUUGUUGCCUUAUGUUGACAAUAAUUUAGGAAUUUAACAAUGCAAAGCCAACUUUAAUUUUUUCGAUAUAUUUGACAUCAUCACAUUGUGAAUAAAACCUCUCAAUGCAA